rnacentral:lncRNA from 1 species
UGUUAAUAGUAGAUGAGGGUACAAAAUUCUAUACAAAGAACAUGAGGCAAGGGCUCCCACAAAGAUUUAUUAAGUUACUAUACUCCUCGAAGGACCUAGCAUAAUGAAAUUCACGUCCAAUUUUUUGUCAGCUACAGGGAUCAAGGACGGUUUUCUUUAAAUUUUUUUUUUUAACGUUUUAUUUAUUUUUGAGACAGGGAGAGACAGAGCAUGAACAGGGGAGGGUCAGAGAGAGGGAGACACAGAAUCUGAAACAGGCUCCAGGCUCCGAGCUGUCAGCACAGAGCCCGAUGCGGGGCUCGAGCUCACGGACCGCGAGAUCACGACCUGAACCGAAGUCGGCCGCUUAACCGACUGAGCCGCCCAGGCGCCCCAAGGACGGUUUUCUUUAAAAUGAUGGUGAGUCAAGAUUUUCAUCCCUUGGUUUUACCUGCCAAGUAAAUAAAAUAAAAUGAUAGCUUAUAUAAACAAUUGCUUUUCACUAAACUCAUCUUCUUUUAACUUAAAUUUUAAUGAAAAGAAUAUUUAAAAACUCCCAGUUUUUUACUUUGUGAAUAAAUCUGCCAUAUGCCAGGACGUGAGCUGAUAUUCCUAAUGAAGUCAGCAUUUCUGGCUUGCUUGAGUUGGAGAGAAAAGUUUUAAAUCUUUCUCCUGUUCUUGAUCCCACAGGUGGGAUCUCAUAUGGCCAUGUUCAAGAUCAGUGACGUUUUCAGAAAAGAGUAAGAAUCGAUGCAACUGCAGUGGGAAGCCUGGAGCAAAGCCUGAGGGUCAAGUUUGACAGAGCUCAGGACUGCUCUGGAUGCAUGACAGACCUUGGCUUCAUCAGACCCCAAGCAUGACCUCAUUUUCUCAUAAAUAGAGAAAUGCCUCUUUAGCAAGGAGCUUACAAUCUUCUAUGUAAAAUAAAAAUUGUCCUUCUUGGAUAUAUUCCUGCUGGAGUCCUGAAAAGCUGGAAUUCGUUUUGAACACCAUAUAUAUCUAAGUUGUUUGAAGAUGUUGUUUCAAAGAGAUGCCUCAGGAACCACUUAAGAAGAAUACUCAGCUUCAGGUCCGGCACGCUUGGCUUUAAAUGCUUGACAACCUCGUUUUGCCCUGCCCCAAAUUUCUCACUCCAUUCUCACCAUUUUCUAGAAUACUAACCUCUCCAACUUUCCUCUUUUAUGCCUUCCCAUCAGCAUAGUUUUAUUUACUAUUGCUUGCAUUUUUCCUACAUGUCUUUAGUAAUUUGAUGAAGGCCUUUUGGGAAUGCCUCCGGCUCCAUGGUCCUUGUGCUUUAUGGAGCCUCUGCUCACCACCCAACCUUUCUGGCCUCUUGGGCAGAGCCCAGACAUAACGUGGGGGUCCCUGAAGAGGCUAUGUAUGAACGAUAAAAAAUGACUAACCCCAAUGAACUAGACAACUUAAAAUUAACUUUCAUUUGACCUCUACUUCAUCUGUAUCGGUGUCUUUCAGUUGUCUGUAUCUAUAAAGUCCAGGUACAUUUCUUCAGUAUUCCACUGGCUGGAAAGACGGAGGGAGGGCAGGCAGUGUAUGUAAACAGCUCAGCAGCUGCUGGAAAAUCUUGAUGGGCAUGCUGUCAGUCUCCUUUGCUAUUUCCUCCUAGCUCUGAUUGUGGCUCUGAAUUCUUUAAAGACUAAAGAGAGAUUCUUGUGUUUGACAACUAAACUAACAGCUCGAUGAGGGGAAAAAGACUGCUGAAAUCUGUCAAUGAAUGUUGCUAACAUAUGUUGCAUUUAUGGACAGGGAGAACACUAGACCUAGCAAGUCUUUGGAAAGAUGUGUGAGCUGGCUGACAGCUGUGACAUCCCAGCACAACAAGUUAAAGUAACACUGAGCAGUGGGUUGUGUCCAGUGAGACUUGGUUGGCCACAGAUGACAAUUCUUCUCCCUGAGCUAUUUCUCUAGUGUCGAUGAUUAAUAUCAAAUGUCGGGUAAGGCUCACUUCCAACAAUAAGGUUGAAGCUACACUCAGUUAACAGAGCAUAGGAUUUUAGUUUUCCAUAGCUCACUCAAGCCAUCCAGGCCCUUCCUAGGGGGUUAUCCCCAGGGUGAGUUAGAUAAAAGGAGAGCUGCAAGGCUCUGCUUCCAGAAGCAAAGCUUCUUGCGGUGCACAACGGAAGCAGAUACUUAUCACUUGCAUGAGGAAAGGUGGAACAGGCAUUUUUUGGCCAAACGUGUUGGAUAGACUAAGAUUGAAGAUUGCGGGAUAAACUCAGGUGGAUCCUGGAGGACACACAAUCGUGGAAUAAAUAGUUUCACUGAAAAUCAAAGUUUAGAUACAUAUUUUCAGGGUAAAGAGGAGGUUCUUUGACGUUAGGUGUUGAUGCGUAUAUUCUGCAAUAUAAUUGACCAUAAAUGUAGGCGUGUGUGUGUGUGCAUGUGUGUGUGUUUGUAUAUUUUUCUUGUUUUUGAUGCCUAUCGUAGACAGGGUGUGUAAGCAUAAGAAAAAUAAAGUGUAUAUAUUUCUUUUGCUAAGGAUAUUUUUAUAAGAGAUGUUUAAAAUCAGAAGUGUUAAUUUUACAUUGUGUGUAUAGAAAACAUAGAUGGUUUUCUAUCUUUUGUCUCCAGAUACGGGUUAUUUGUGAGCCUUAAGCAUGAGUGCAUUUCUGCUUCAGCUGAUCACACUUUUGGGGGGCAGUUAAGGGGCACAAAAGUGUGGAGGGGCAUCUGGGUGGCUCAGUUGGUUAAGCGUCUGACUUAGGCUCAGGUCAUGAUCUCACAGUUCGUGGGUUCCAGUCCCGUAUCGGGCUCUGUGCUGACAGCUUGGAGCCUGGAGCCUGCUUUGGAUUCUGUGUCUCCUUCUCUCUCUGCCCUCCCCCACUUGUGCUCUCUCUCUCUCUCUCUCCCCCUCUCCCUCUCUCUCUCAAAAAUAAAUAAACAUUAAAAAAAAUUAAAAAAAUAAAGCAAAAGUGUGGAUAAUAAAAAAUAAUAUAGAAAUACAAAGUCAAUAUUAAAUAAAUCCCUAUUAUAAAUAAAGGGACUGUGGUUUCUAGUGAACGGUUUAACAUGCAUCACAGAACGGGAAUUUGAAUCUGAGAGCACCUGGAUCUGUGCUUACAGUGCUUUAAUCAGACAAGAUCGCUGUGUAACAUCAAAUGCCAAUGGGAUCUUUGAUGGUUGUAGGACACGUCAAUGCAUUUUUGUAUGCCCAGAAGUGGCAGUGAGGGUUCGAUUGGUUUUGAAACUAAGUUUACGUGACACCAAAAUUAGCAAUUAAAAAUUAAAAAAAAAAUUCAGUCUCUUUUCCUUCUAUUUUUUUCAACAAUUUUAAACAAGUUAGCUGUUAAUGACUUUAAUGGGAUGUUUUUGUUUUUACGUAGAUCCGUUCUGUAACAUUGGCACACACCAAAGAAAAGCACAGCCCAGAAGCUAUGCGUUUCUUUUUUCUGGACCACUCAUCUUUUUGGUAUGCUGGCACAAUUGUUUGCAAGCUCUCAUCAUCAUGGGGAAGUCAUCUAUUAAGAACCAUCUGCUGAAGAGAAUUCCAGUCCCUAAUAUUACAUCGCUGCUGGAGCUGUCCAUGUUCUUCCCCACGUGCCGACCACUACCUUUCUCACGUUGCUUCUUUGUGUCUGUGCAUGGAGAACAAACAAAUGUACGGGAUUUGUUUUACUUAAGACUUAGCGUGGUAGAGCUAAAAGUAUAGUUCACUGCCUCUCAAACGUCAAGGUGCAGAGGAGUCACCUGAGACUCUUAUUAAAAUGCAGAUUUGGGGCGCCUUGGUGGCUCAGUUGGUUAAGCCUCUGACUUCAGCUCAGGUCAUGAUCUCAUGGUUUUUGGAUUCGAGCCUUGAGUCGGGCUCUGUGCUGACAGCUCAGAGCCUGGAGCCUGCUUCGGAUUCCGUCUCCUUCUCUCUCUGCCCCUUCCCCUGUUUGUGCUCUAUCUCUCUGGUUUUUCAACUUCCACUCUGUUGACAUUUUGGGCUGAAUAAUUCUUUAUUGUGAAGGAAUGUUUUAUGCAUGACACAAUGUUUAGCAAUAUCCCUGGCUUCUACUGACUUCUACUGUAGUGUUCUCUCCCUCUAGUCGUGACAGUGAGAAUUAUCUUCCAACAUCGCCAAAUAUCCUUUGGGGAUAAAAUCACCCCAAGUUGAGAACCACUAGGGUAGGGGUUAUCAUGAAGGAUUCUGGAUUAGAAUGCUUGGAUUCAAAUUCUGGCUUACUUACUGUAUGAGUGGCCAUAGGCAAUUUAUAUAAUUUUUCUGAGCCUUAGUUUUCUCCUCUAUAAAAUGGGGAUAAUAAUAGUAUCUACCUUAGAUAUUCAUAGUGUCAGUAUGACAACACAGGAGGUUUCUGAAUUUUCCUCCUCCCACUGACACACCAAAUAUACAGCUACACAUGAAGCAACUUCUUCUGAGAGAAAUCCAAAAACCAGCUGAAUCACUCCUACACAUCAGACAACUGGGGAAAGACCCACAUUGAAAUAGGAAAGGCUGGGGCGCCUGGGUGGCUUGGUCGGUUAAGCGUCUGAAUUCAGCUCAGGUCAUGAUCUCACGGUCCAUGAGUUCGAGCCCCACGUCGGGA